GCGGCGGCGGUGGCGCGGCUCGCGCGUCGGCCGUGGGGCUCCUGCGGGGUCCCCGGGAAGGGGCGCAAAUUAACAGAUGUGCAUGAGGAGGUGCGUGGUCGGCCUCACGUUUUGUACCUGCUACCUGGCUUCUUACCUCACGAACAAGUAUGUCCUGUCUGUCUUGAAAUUUACCUACCCUACAUUAUUCCAAGGGUGGCAGACAUUAAUUGGUGGACUUUUGCUUCAUGUGUCAUGGAAACUGGGCUGGGCGGAGAUCAACAGCAGUUCAAGAUCUGACGUUUUGACAUGGCUUCCUGCUUCAGUGCUGUUUGUGUGUAUCAUCUAUGCUGGUUCCAGAGCACUGUCCAGACUGGCCAUUCCCGUGUUUCUCACUUUGCAUAAUGUAGCCGAAGUUAUCAUCUGUGGGCACCAGAAGUGUUUUCAGAAAGAGAAAACAUCUCCUGCAAAGAUCUGUAGUGCCCUCUUCCUCCUGGCUGCCGCAGGGUGCCUGCCCUUCAACGACUCCCAGUUUGAUCCAGAUGGUUAUUUCUGGGCUGUAAUUCACUUAUUCUGCGUAGGGGCUUAUAAGAUACUACAGAAAUCCCAGAAACCCAACGCGUUAAGUGACAUUGACCAGCAGUACUUAAACUAUCUAUUCAGUGUGGUGCUCCUGGCAUUUGCAUCUCACCCCACAGGUGAUCUCCUCAGCGUCCUGGACUUUCCGUUCCUGUAUUUCUACAGAUUCCAUGGCAGCUGCUGUGCCAGUGGAUUUUUGGGAUUCUUUCUCAUGGUCAGCACAGUGAAGCUAAAAAGCCUUAUGACCCCAGGGCAGUGUGCAGCCUGGAUUUUCUUUGCUAAGGUGAUCACGGCUGGUUUAUCGAUAUUGCUGUUUGAUACAAUCCUGACCAGGGCCACCGUGGGAUGGAGAGUGCAUCUAUCAUGAAUAUUUUCCCAAACUGAAUAUACCACACCUGCUACAGCCAGCAUCCAGAGCAGGAACCAGAGCCUCAACGGUAUACCUUUCAGCCACUCAUCCACACAAGAGUCACCACUACAGAAUGAACUAAAAAACAGCAGAAAAACAAAAAACACCCAGGUGUUGAACUGAGUGUGAGAAAUAAGCCUGAGAUGCUCUCCAGUGGGGAGGCCGCGCUUAGUCUGAAGGUUCCAGCAGCCGUCUGUGCGAGGCCAUAUCUCCAGGCUGUUCCACAUCCUGUGGACUUCGUGGUAUGCCCUGAACAAGAUGGAAAGAAGGGCUGUGUGUACCCAAAUCAAGGAAACAGCACGUGUGAUUAUUGCAAAAGGAACCUUGACUUUGGAAUUUCCUGAUUUUUGAGAACUCUCGAAUUUAAGGAUGGUGUGUUUUCAGCCUCAAAGAAUUUUCCAACCACAAAGUGAACCACCAGAAGAGGAAUGUCAGACUGUGUUUCAGAUUUCCUGUCUUUUGCGCAGAGCUGAUCUGCAUUGUCCAUAGACUGGGUGUGUUCAAGCUGUGACGGGGUGACCAGCUCUCGGAUCCCGGGCAGGGAUCCGAGGCCAGUCUCUGUCCUGUGGGAGCUUAGACUGAUCGGAAGUCAGAAGGCAGGGCUGCAGGCCUGUUUUGUUUGGACCUACUGUGUUUGCCUGUAUACUCAUUGUUUCUUCUUUUUUGAUUUUCAAAUUUCAAAUUACUCAGCAUUUAGAAAUCAGGUGAUUUCCCUGUAACAGUCCAGAUCUCCAGAUUCUUUUGAAAAUACGGAACAGCUGUUAAGUUGGGCCUGCACGUCCACACAGCAGCAGUCGCUGGAGUGGGUCGAGGCUGCCCACUCAGUGGACAUGGGCUCCCUGAGUGAGCGCAGCUGCCACCGCUGCAGUCUGGCUGCGGGCGGGGACCCUGGAUCAGCCGAUAUCCUCGCCUGCAUUUGCUUCCUCCUGGUCGGCGGCCUUGGAGAGGCCUUGCUGGUUUUCUCAGAGCGGAAGUGCUCCUAAACACAGGGAGAGUGGACUCCCAGGCUGCAGCCGGAGAACACCGCCCUGGGCUAUGGAGCUCCCUGUCCCGGCGAUAGAAAGAAGAAAGCAAGAACGAUGAGACACUGCUGCUCGCUGCGUCGAGGAGAACUUUUUCUGGGGUCUCUGGGCCGCUGCAGAGAGUGGACUGUGUUGAGAGGCUCCCCCAAGUCCUGCUGACUGUGCUGUGAGCCCAGCUGUGGAGAAACAGAUCCAGGAUUUCACCUGCAUGGGGAUGGCUCCGCCCACCUUGAUUGCCACGCAAGCCUCCUUACUAAACACCCUUCCCAGAUAAGCGUUCACUGCCUGCUAGUGGGCCCAAGGUAUUGUGUUGCCUUUUUGGUUUUGUUUUGUGAUUUUACACCCUUGGAGACUCCUCCGGGGACACCCUUUCCUUGCUGUCAGUCAGGCUGGCUUGCCUAGAACUCACACUCCCCCACCUAGGGGCGCAGAGAGAAUUCCUCGAGCUGGCUUCCACUGGGGGCAGGAGUGGAGGAGGUAAAUGGGGGUUCUGGGCCAAGUAAGACGCCAGCAAGGACACUACUUCUCCAGAGUGUGUGCUGAAGCCUUCUUAUGGUUGUGUGUUGUCUUGAAUUCCACACACCCUUUUUUGCCUACCAUUAGGGUAACUUGGUGCUAAUGAUUACCAGAGGGAAUAGGAUUAAUAAGCACUGGUGGAGGAAACAGCAAACAAACAUAAAUAUGUAAACGCACACACAGUUAUAUUCGUAAUCCAUUUAAUUCCCUGGUAUCUCAGAGGAGGUUUCAGAUCAUUGAACACUGAAAUAUAUUUUUCAGGCCAGAUGAAAAAUUGGAUGAAAACUCUAAACCUUGCCUUUAUGGGAGUCAAAAGAAAUGAAUUUGCAUGAAAUGGUCAUUUGAUUCUGAACCCCAAUGAAGGUUUAAGAAAAUAAUGUCUAGCUCCAAAUAUUCCUGCUCAUAAGAGGUUUUCUGAAUGCAUUAUACUCUGCCAGGUGUCAGUUUUGGUCAUUUUGAGACGUAGAAGGUAAUGAAGUCCAGGGAGUCCUGUCCAGGAAGGAUCCAGGCCCUGCAGGGUGGGACACCCCGUUAGUGAUGAAGGACCACCUCCAGCAUCUGGGAAACAAGCCUUGUCCAUUCUUGGCCUUGUGAAGACUAAGGUCAGCUCAGUCAGGCCAUUCUUACUGCAGUUUUUUCUCCAAGUUGUUGAAAAAAGAAACAGAAGAUGAAACAAAUAGGAAUGGAUUAGUAUAUUUGGACCUUGAGUACCUUAAAUUCAUUUCCUUGUCUUUUCCUGGUCUCUGCUUGUCAUUUAAGGUAAACAUGUUCAGAGUGACCUUUAUACAUAUAUAGUUUCACGUUGCUUUUUGUUCCUAAUCUGAGAUGUCAAACCUUCUACCGAGGAUCAAAUAGAAAAUCUGGGUUUACAAUUUUCUUUGUUCUUUCGCUCCCACAAAACCGUCUCUGUACAACUGAGGCCAGUUCUCUCUUUACAGAAAGUGGCAUCUGUCCAAAUGUCAUCUUAUGUCUGUCUUUCCAAGUCUCAUUUGAGCAAAUGGAGAUUCCUAAGGCUAGAAAGAGCCAUGUACAGUUAACAAACCCCGUCCCCUGUUCCAGCAGGACUGACCUCAGAAACUUCUGCAGCAGACAGAAAAAGACAAAUACUGUACGACAUCACUUAUAUGUGGAAUCUAAAAAAUAAUACAAAUGAAUGUAUUUGCAAAACAGAAACAGACUCACAGAUAUAGAAAACAA